rnacentral:rRNA from 1 species
UUUACUGUAAGAAUAAGCACCGGCUAACUCCGUGCCAGCAGCCGCGGUAAUACGGAGGGUGCAAGCGUUAUCCGGAUUUACUGGGUUUAAAGGGUGCGUAGGCGGGUUUGUAAGUCAGUGGUGAAAUCCCCGGGCUCAACCUGGGAACUGCCAUUGAUACUAUUAGUCUUGAAUGAUGUUGAGGUUGGCGGAAUAUAACAUGUAGCGGUGAAAUGCUUAGAUAUGUUAUGGAACACCGAUUGCGAAGGCAGCUGGCUAAACCUAUAUUGACGCUGAUGCACGAAAGCGUGGGUAGCGAACAGGAUUAGAUACCCUGGUAGUCCACGCCCUAAACGAUGAUUACUCG